UUUUAAAAGGCUUUUUGCUGUCUAAAACGGGGAGGAAGUAGCUCAAGGGACAUUCAGAUUUGUUAAUGAAGAGUUAUUGGAGUCUUAAUUCAUUCUGUUUUGUUAAUGAAAUGAGUAAGAAACCACAUUUUCAGAGAUUUGAGAACUGAUAGGACGGAUUAUAGAGUUGAAUCUGUGAAAUCAAAUCUUUCGAUACUCAGCCUUGUUUUAUCAUCCUGUUUAAUAAAGCUUUAAGUCUGUUGUUUUUAGACUUUCAUAGUAAAUGACUCCUUAAGUGUUUCACCUUUUUCUCCUGCUGUUUUUUUUUCUUCUUUGCAUUUAGCCACACUUUAAUCUGUGAUUAAAACUUUCUACUGUGUCUCUCUGCUUCCUGAAUCUUCCACCUGCCUGCAGUCUGAUUGCAGCAAUGAGAAUCAGCUGCCGUAAUUGGCUCACACCAGUCACCUGUUUGCAAUUCCACCUCCCAGCAUAUAAGCCAGCUCUGUCAUUCACUCCCUGCUCCACCAUGGACUCGCAUAUCCUGCGUCAACUCAUGACCACCAGAGCUUCUUGGACACGAUGCUGCCCUUGUACCCCUGCCAGUUCCUGUUUGGGUUUCCUACCUACCCUUUCAGCUGAGUUUCUUCCCGUUCUUUCAGCCCUUCCUCCCUGACUGUUCCACCUGCCUGCAGUCUGAUUGCAGCAAUGAGAAUCAGCUGCCGUAAUUGGCUCACACCAGUCACCUGUUUGCAAUUCCACCUCCCAGCAUAUAAGCCAGCUCUGUCAUUCACUCCCUGCUCCACCAUGGACGCGCACAUCCUGCGUCGACUCGUGACCACCAGAGCUUUUUGGACACGACUCUGCCCUUGUACCUCUGCCGGUUCCUGUUUGGGUUUCCUACCUACCCCUUCAGCUGAGUUUCUUCCCGUUCUUUCAGCCCUUCCUCCCUGACUGUUCCACCUGCCUGCAGUCUGAUUCCAGCAAUGAGAAUCAGCUGCUGUAAUUGGCUCACACCAGUCACCUGUUUGCAAUUCCACCUCCCAGCAUAUAAGCCAGCUCUGUCAUUCACUCCCUGCUCCACCAUGGAUGCGCACAUCCUGCGUUGACUCGUGACCACCAGAGCUUCUUGGACACGACGCUACCCUUGUACCUCUGCCGGUUCCUGUUUGGGUUUCCUACCUACCCCUUCAGCGGAGUUUCUUCCCAUUCUUUCAGCCCUUCCUCCCUGACUGUUCCACCUGCCUGCAGUCUGAUUGCAGCAAUGAGAAUCAGCUGCCGUAAUUGGCUCACACCAGUCACCUGUUUGCAAUUCCACCUCCCAGCAUAUAAGCCAGCUCUGUCAUUCACUCCCUGCUCCACCAUGGACUCGCAUAUCCUGCGUCGACUCGUGACCACCAGAGCUUUUUGGACACGA